ACAGAGGGUCUGGUUACAGGAGGGCAGUUUCUGAACAGAAGAACCCAAUCACCGAAAUCUCCCACUGGGAGGGGCUGCACACUCCCUAAUUGCCAGUUAGCACACUCGGGGAUAUUCUGGCUUCCAGAGAACCACUUUCAACUUCUGUUUUUUGGUGAGCUAUUUGCUGGAGGCAUUUGAUUUUUUACAACACACAGAACUCUUCUCUGACUUUUUUUCCCUACUUGUAGCACAGCCCGUCCUGCCUGCUGACAGGUACAAAACAACUGGAGGAGUGAAUGCAUCUGAGGAACUGGGAUGCCACAGCUACGAGGAUGAUUUCGGGAAGGGAAACCUGCUCUGCUGGUGAACCCCGUAGUUCUGAAUUAAUUGCAGUCAAAGCCAGAAAGGGAAUCUGAAAACAUCACUCAGACCUUGGGCUGACAGCCGGUAAGGAAAGCGUGGCAGAGCUGCUGCAGAUGGUGGGCAUGCUCUGUCCUCGGGCACUUGGCAGAAACUUGCUGCUAACAAAAGCAAAGGGCUCAGAUGUACACUCAGCACGGGAGGCUUGUGGCAAGCUCAGCCAUCACUGACAAAACGGGAAGAGCUUCACAAUAGUUGUUUUGCACUCCCCCACCCACAGCCUCUCUGGAGACCAGCCCUGAGACUUCAGCAUCAACCACAGAGGAAGUCUUUGCUUGCUGCUUUCAUACCUUUCACUGCCAGCUGUGGCUGUUUGCACCUGCUGCGCCUUCACUCGGCAGCCAAAGUUCCCAUCUAAAAAUACUAGGCCUGCUUUAGACAGCUUUAGAGCUAAUUUGGGGGGAUUUUUUGCCCUUUCCUCCUCUCCCUGCGUGUGCUAAGUCAAGUGACUGCAAGUAACCUCAAGUCCUGCACUGUACCUCGUUAGAAAGGGUGAUUGCAUUUAUUCUCAGUUAAAAGCCUUCCCCUCGUGAUGUGCUGGAUGCCUCUGCAAGCAACCUUCUCAGAAGCCAUUAGAAGACGGUGACAUUGCAACCAGGUCCUUCAGCCCACCCGCAGCUCUGCCAGCUCUACCUCCUCGUUCUCUCCAACAAGCAAAGCCAGGCCAAACUCACCAAGUCAUAGGUGUCUGAUGAGUAGCUGACAGGCCCCAUGGUGUCAGGAUCUGCCUCUCCUCCAGCAGGUCAGAAAAGUUCUUCUUUUUCGGGGUGGAGUUAGUCAUUUAAGUGAGCAGGGAGGGACCCAGCAAGUAACAAUACAGUAUUUGCAAGGCAAAUGAGCUCCAAGUGAAGGGUGACCUAUAUGUUGUAAAGAUUGGCCUCUCACUUUAUCACUUUUUCUUAACUGUUUCGAUUUUCACAGUGAUGCUUGAAAAAUCCACAUUCCUUUGGCCUGUAACAAGAAGAUCCAUGAGGUCCAUAAUUCCAUCCUACAAACCUCCAGGGUUCUUGGCUGCUACUGCCCUAGUCCAGGGCAAUCUGAAAGCUCUGUGCCCCACCGAAAUCUCACCAGGUCUGGAUGCCCUCUGGAGCUUUGUAAGACUUUGCAGACACCAUUAAUCACAUCUGCAUAACCUUUAUCCUCUGCUGGUGUCUUCCUGGCCUCAGCCUCAGGGACCUACAGCCGUUCUCCAUCUCCUCCUGCCACUUCAUCCCUUGCUGCACUCACACUGGAGUGCAGACCUUGCUGAUGGAAAGCUCUGCCUCAGUGGCUGCACUGCAGUUCUGGGGAAGGGCAGAGGCUUCUAACAAAUUGAGAAGUUAACUGAAAGUUUCUAAUCUGAGGAAGCAUGCUGGAGCCUCUGUUCGAGCAAGAAGCCCGGCAGGAGUCACACCAGUGAGAAAGGAGACACUACUCUGGCAAUCACUAUUGGAUUUUGUCUCUUUGUGGUUCUUAGCAGGAGGCAUCUCCCAGGCUGUGAGUCCAGCCCUUAGAAGUGGGCUGGGGAUGAACAGGUUUCAGGGAACACACUCUGAGGUCACAGGCAACAAUUUCCCUUGCAAGUACAUAUGCACUAUGUGAUUGCUACCACAGAUGAAGCACAGGAUCCGUGUGAUGCUGUCCUGUUAAAUGUAGGAAAAGUGACGGAGAGGAAAACAUGGACAAAAAAUAAGUUGAGAUAAAAUACAGUUAAAUUAAAAACAAUGCCGUUUUACGGGAUACUAGCAGGUAAGCGAUCCAUAAUUGAAUACAACUAUAAUUAAAUUCAACAAUAAAAUUUGAGGACUGUUUUGGUGCCUGUGCAUAGCAGCUCCUUGCUGAACUCUGACAUUCUGCUGCAAGUACAUACUCUAGCUGAUUGUAUAUUAUGACUAACAAAAAAUGUUAACUUGUGUAAGGUUUCCUGAUAGUAGGAAAUCAGCUGUACAAAAAGAUGACAAAAUGCAUUCCUUGAGGAUGAUCUACUCUAUAACUACCAAGCAUUUCAACUGACCAGUUUGACACUAUACUUUCUGAGCCAAAUCUGUCCUGACUCCUGGAUCGUCUCUCUGAUGUUUUCAGUCAUCUCAUUUGUUGUUAUCAUCACAAAUAGAGCUUUGCAAACCCAGUCAGAUUUACCCAUCUGUUAACUUCUGCUGUCAUUUGCUCUUUUAAGGUUGGUGCAUCAACCUAUUUCCUGCACCUCUCUGUGCAAAGCACGAUGCCUAGCUCUGCUGAGAGCUGAGAAAAAGCACCCAGGCAGCACAGAUGUAGCAGAGCAGAGACCUCUCCAGCAGUGAUUGCUGUGCCCAGCAGCCAGCCAGAAGCACGGCACAGUGCUUUGUUGGAGGUUGGACUCCGUUUGGAAUCACUCAGCCGCAUCCAGACUUUGCAAAGAAAAACAACCACAAAAGAAGCCAAUUCAUUCUCAUCUAUUCUGGAAAACAGAGCAGCAGCAUACGCUGUGUGUACGUUGGUUUCGAGGUAGAGAUAAGACAAUGAUCUAAAAUUGGUGGCAGAUGUGAGGAGCAAGGAGAAAAAUAAACACCAUGUGAGAAAAACAAAUGGAUUUCCCUUUUAUGGGGAAAAAAAGGGA